GUGGAGACAGGCUCACAGGAAGACUUCUUAAGAUAGAAGGGAGCAUCUGAGAUGAGCUGGGAAGAAAAAAUCUAAAAGCCAGUUCAGUUUUGAACAUUUUGAAGGUUUUAAGAUGCCAGGUCCAAGUGACAGUGUUCAGCCAGGCCUGGAAUUUGAGGAGAUGGCCUGUAUAGGAGCCCUCAGAACAAGGGUGAUAUUUGAAAACCUGGGAGCAGAUGAAAUCACAGAGGAGUGAGAAUAUCCAGCCCUAGAAGGAGGCAGAGGACUCGUCCUGGGGGUCAUGCUUUCAGAGAAUAAAGUAGUCAUGUACAGAUAUGAGAGUUGGACUAUAAAGAAGACUGAGCACCAAAGAAUUGAUGCUUUUGAACUGGAGAAGACUCUUUAGAGUCCCUUGGACAGCAAGGAGAUGGAACCAGUCAGUCCUAAAGGAAAUCAACCCUGAGUAUUCUUUGGAAGGACUGAUGCUGAAGCUCCAAUACUUUGACAACCUGAUGUGAAGAGCCAACUCAUUGGAAAAGACCCUGAUUCUGGGAAAGACUGAAGGCAAAAGGAGAAGGAGGUGGCAGAGGAUGAGAUGGUUAGAUAGCAUCAUGGACAUGAAUUUGAGAGAACUCUGGGAGAUAGUGAAGGACAGGGAAGCCUGGCAUGCUGUAGUUCAUGGGGUCUCAAAGAGUCAGACAGAACUUAGCGACUGAAAAACAAUGUCUGUGGAUCUUUUACCAUCCAUUUCUUGGCCUCUGGAGACAAUGCAUGUAUUCAAAGUUCUUACAUUGUGGAAAUAUGCUCUGCAUGGGAGAUGCUACGCUCCGUCUCCAAAGUCAGCAUCCUCAGUUCUGUCGAUGUACUCCAUUUCCUAAUACUUGGAUUUCACUUCAAUCCUUUUAUCAUUUUCUCCCUCUUUUUCCAGACAAUCUGGUUAAUCUAUCUCCUCUAGCCCCUGGCACCCAGAGGGCCAGAAGGAACCUAUCCCCUCCUUUUGAACAACAUACUUCUAUUAAUGUAAACUUCAGGUGUGCUAGUCAGACA